UCGCUUUGGCAGCAUAUCUACUAAAACUGGAGCAAUACGGAGACCAUUAGCAUGGCUUCUGUGCAAGGAUAACAUGUAAAUUCAUGGAGAAGCCUAUACUUUU